rnacentral:tRNA from 1 species
GCGAGAUUAGUUAAGCGGUCUAACGCUACCUUCCCAAGGUAGAGAGACGGGUUCGACUCCCGUAUCUCGCU